AUCAAACCCUACCUGGAGAAUUUCCAGAAGCAACAGCACCCUCAGGAGGCGGCCUGCAGCCGGAGCCCUCUCCAGGGCAGGUGCCUGAGGGCCGCCCAUGGGACAGGCCCGAUUGUACCCACGGUGCAUGUCAUCUGUUCCACUCCUGCUGACUCCGGUGCGUUCCGGGACCACCUUGGGAGGUGAUGCCUGCCCCAGGAAGGAGGCUCUGAUGCAGUAUCAAAUCUCACCUUGGAGGACCCGUUGGAGAUGAAGCCCUUUUGAGGGACUGCUUCCCGGGGGCAGCGCUGGCACCACGGGACGCGGCAGCCACGUUCUUGAGCCGAUGGCACUCUGGGUACCUGAGAAGAGGUUGUCUGUGAUGAGUUCGCUUUUAUUAAUGACGAAUAUAACACAGAUGGCCUGUUUUCAGUACCGCUACCGCCCGGUGGUGUGCGGGCGCCACGCCUGAGGCGGGACUUUCCAGGGUGGCCAGGAUGAAAGUCUCCAUGGACCCUUCAACCAGAGGCUCUGUGACUUGUCCCGUCUUCAGUGCGGUGUGUAAACCCUGCCGCCGGUCCAAGUUCACGAGACACGUUGGCUGGUGCAGUCCUGGAGACCCACGGAGCUCACGGUCGUCAGGGGUCCUCAAGGAUUCAGAGAACCCCCAAAUGUCAGGGCUGCUCCCUUCUUGUCCUGCCUCUCUGCUCACACCCUUGGACAGGAGGAAGCACACGGGAGGCACUCAGAGAACGUUUGUGGAAUGAAUAAAUAAAAGCAUAUUUUGAGGGAAUAAAGAAGCAGAAAAACAAAGAAGAAUCUGGGGAAGAUGGGCAUAAAUCUCCACCAAGUGCUGCCAAGGCUUCCCAGGCGAGGCUGCUGAAAAGACCCUGUGGAGCGGCUGCUCUGCCUGGGAUAAACACAUUUCAAGAGUCUCAGUCCCCGCUUUGCCACCAUCUCCUCCUCUGAUCUCCUUUCCUGCUUCAAAAGACUCCAGAAUCUUCUCGGUUCUCAGAGAAGGCUGAAUCCACCUAUGACCUAGUGGGAGCACCCUGUGCCGAAACUGUUUACCUUCUGGUCCCCGGAGCCAUGGGUCACGACCUGGGCCUCAUGUAGGCCCGCUCCUCAGCAGACCCCAAUCUGCGGCUUCUCCCACCUCACUGGGGAAGAAGGAGAGCCCUGGGGAUGUGGAGAAGCCACCCCCCACCCCGCCACAUCCCCCACAUCUUACAGAAUCUCGAUUGAAUCCCCGGGGGCACAUCCCUCAGCAGGACAGCAACAGUCUUUGCCGCAGCCUGGGGAGGGCUGUGCUGGGGAUGAGCGCCGAGUGGCCGUGGACUAAGUGAAGGAAAUGACCAUGCUCUUCUCCCAGCUGGAUGGCGAGGCCGGGCAGGAACCGCGGAAUUCCUGCUCUUCGUUUUCAAACACUUUGCUGUCAAGCUAUUUGAAUAAUAAAUACACAUUAUAAAAAUGUAAA
rnacentral:lncRNA from 1 species